rnacentral:tRNA from 1 species
GUCGGCGUAGCUCAGUUGGUAGAGCGUGGGACUCAUAAGCCCAAGGUCAGAGGAUCGUUCCCUCUCGCCGACA